AAAAACAGGUGGAAUGGUUGGAAUAAAUUUGAUCAAUGGCCCUCAUUCUAUUUACUAACUGAAAGUUUUUGAUUGGCUGUCCACUGUGAGUCCCAUCUCAUCAACAUUAUCAAUUAUUGAAUUAUAGGCCCUACUUGUACAAACUGAAAGCCCUAACAUACCAUAUAAGCCUACAGCCACAUUGAGAAGAGAUUGAAGAGUUGUGGCUCACACAGGAGAGAUUUGGACCAAUCACUAAAUGGGGCUGGCCAUGAACUUGCCAUGGACCAUAAAUAAGGAAAAAUGGAUGGUAAGAAUGGCCAAUAUUCAGCUUAUAUGUGUGGCCCACCUGAAGAUUGGGACCAGCCUGCUCUUGGUACUAGACAUGUCCACAUUGAUUCCCACUUGGAACAUACUCCAGAUCUCUCACAUGUGCCCAAUUGCACACGUAAUCUCCUCUUACUCAUUGCUUUAGCAAUCCUCUUAUCAGAAACCCAUUUAAGAAAUUAGAUUUGGAGGUGGACUUUCCUUUUUCGGGACCUGCUUCUUGCCUUAGGGUGUCUUUGGUUGCACCUGAUCAAGAAAUUUCAUGAUAUUCGAUGCAACCAAACGCACCCUUAAGCAAAUUGACAGGGAUUAGAUGUAUUACUUGUGACUUGUGAGAAAAAUGCUGCGACCGCUAUUUACUUUGCAUCUCAAUGACUUCCGUAUUCAUUAUUGACAGUAUUUAUUUUCUAAUUUAGAGAAUUGUACAUUUGUAUGCAGGGACAUUUUUGCCAUCUACAGGAUGAUCAACAGAGGAUCUGGUUGUAAUUUAAUUUUUGUUUAGUCAUCGUAAUCUCAUCACAUUGUGCUGUGUAGUAAACAUCCUAUAGCUCUCUUUAGAUUUUUGGUAUUUCUAGCCUAGAAUAAAGAGACAACGCCCACUACUCCACGAAGCAUGAAAUUCUUGUGCCUCCACUCAUUCUGUAAACAUGACCUUUUGAUGAUGAUUCACACCAUCCAUUCAUCAUGCAGCUCCAUGAAUAGACCAUAGGCGAAAAUCACAAUGAGAGAUCAUGUAAAAAGAUGAUGCACAAAGACCACUAUGAUCCAGCCAUCUUUAAAUGGUCAGGAUUGUGAAGUCAUUGUGAUUUUUGGUCCAUGGCCCCUUUACAGUUGGCCCCAAUCAGUGAACAGUUCAGAUCAUCAUGCACAUGAACAUCCAAGGUCUAGUAGGUAGAUGCACAAAAGUUUUUUUUUUUUGGCUUUGGGGAGUUGUGAAUCUCAUCCCAUAGAUAAAAUAUGCUCCAUAGUUGAUAAAAGUGGACAGUUUCACAGCUGACACUCAUCUCAUAUCCAUCUCUAUACUUCAAACACAUCAUUACAUGAGUGUAAGGAUGCUAUGACUUGAUAAUUUAGAAAAAUAGUGGAACACCCAUUGUUUUGAACUUCUCUUGUUGAAGUUUGAUUACUUAUUUUUAUAAUUGUUAUUGGUUUAUUUAGCAACAGGAUUUUCAGAGAUCUUGUUGUUGUUUCUUACAUUGGUUUGAUCAUGAUCUUGUGCUAUCAUGUUUGGUUUACGAUCAAAUGUCAUUUUUUUUCCUGUAAUUAAACCCUCUAUAUUGUUCAUCCCCAUACAUUUAAAUUUAGCGUCUGUAGCAUCUAGCACUUUGAAAAGAAACAGGGGUGAAGAUGGCCUUUGAGGUCAUUUCUUAAGGUGAGAAUGGAGAUUACGGUCCUAAGAGUCAAGGAAGUUAAGGACCCAAAAAGCUAAAAGCUUUUUUGGGUGUAACCCAGAAUGAGACUGGUAUUGAAUGCUCAUUGGCAAGCACACAUUUUGCAGGCUUAGAUUGUUUACUGUGUCCCGCCAAAUGAAAAUCACAGGAAGCAUUAGAGGCUUGUAUAUAAAAAAUGCCCCCCAAAAUGAGAAUGGGCUGGUAACAUGUCUGACCUGUUAUUUUCCCGUCCUCAUUCAGUUCAGUCAAUGCACAUUCCCAUCCAUAUUUUCAGUUAGUCGAAACAGAGAUCUUUUUACAAGAUGGAUUUGGCAUUUUGGCAGCCCAGGUUUAGGAGAGUUCAGAUCCUUUUCCUCAAUACUUGAUUCAAGAUGAGGAGUCAAUAUUGUGUUGGCAAGAUAUGGAGUUGGUGAGUCAUCUUUUUUUGCACUGUUCAUUCUCUAGGGAGGUGUGGGAAAGAUUCUUCAGGCUCUUCGGUGUUUCUUGGGUUCUGCCAAGAUCAAUUGAUGACUUUUUCAGGCAGUGGCACAUAAGCGUUCAUGGUAAAUGUGGAACUGACAUGUAGAGGCUUUCUCUCCUAGCCGGCCUAUGGGCUGCUUGAAGGAAAGGAACAAUAGAUGCUUCCGGGAUGUGUGGCAAUCCAAGGGGAGUCUUUCCUCAAGCAAAAUCAAGUGUUUUUGAAUGGGCGGCAGCUAUAUCUAAAGUUGAGGCCUCAAGUUUGAGCGGGUUGUAGCGCAAGUUGUGCAGUUUGGGUUUUUCUUUUUCUUUUUUUCCUUGUAUUCUUUCGGCUUUGCCGUCUUCAUAAAUAAAUUAAAAAAAAAAGAAAAGAAAAAAACAACUUUGAUUCAAGUUCCAAAUGGAUUUGGCAUUUUGGCAGCCCAGAUGUAGGAGGAUUCGGAUCCUUUUCCUCAAAUACUUUGAUUCAAGUUCCACUGGCAUUCAAUCUUGCUUAUUAAAAUUAAAAUCUUUCCAGUUUGAAAAUGAACAUGGGAUAAUGAAGAAUUUCAUGAUCUGAAUCAGUUCCACUA